UACAGUCAAAUCAUGCUGAAAACACUGGUUCUCAUUUGAUCGCCAAAAGUUAAGCAGCAUCAAGCCUGGUCAAUACUUAGAUGGGAGACCACUUGGGAACACAUGGUACUGUAA